GGAAGGUGCGGCUGGAUCACCUCCUUUCUAAGGAGCACCACGAAAAGCACACCAAUUGGUGGUGUGCGAGCCGUGAGGGGUUCUCGUCUGUAGUGGACGAAAACCGGGUGCACAACAGCAAAUAAUUGCCAGACACACUAUUGGGCCCUGAGACAACACUCGGUCGAACCGUGUGGAGUCCCCCCAUCUUGGUGGUGGGGUGUGGUGUUUGAGUAUUGGAUAGUGGUUGCGAGCAUCUAGAUGAACGCCGUAGUCCUUCGGGGCUGACGAGUUCAUCGAAAUGUGUAAUUUCUUUUUUGGUUUUUGUGUGUAAGUAAGUGUUUAAGGGCGCAUGGUGGAUGCCUUGGCGAA
rnacentral:misc_RNA from 1 species